GCCAAUUGCCAACUACCUGACUUGCUUCCUGGGAAUUGAAGGCAUCGCCGCGGUUGAAGAGGUGUUUAGCUUAUGCUAUAAAAAGGUAGAUAUCUACAAUUCUUUGACUUUUGAAAUCUUUCGACCGGCUCCACACAACAUAUUACCUAACUUAACUAGAGUUCAAGGAGUAAGUUGUUUGUGAUAGUUUUCAUUCACUCUGCUUUCAUUUUGUGAGCGAAGACACAGCAGAAAGACUGAACUAACUUGUUUCUGGAAACAAAAUGAAUAAAACUCACUGUCCUCAACCGGAUAAGAAAGUUUUCGAACAUACAGUCCUGCCUACUCUUUACAUCUUGGUAUUUGCUGUUGGACUGGUCCUGAAUGUAUGGGGAAUGAAGUCUUUGCUGCAUAACUGGAAGAAACUUCGGCGUAUAAACAUUCUUGUUCUUAACCUUGGACUAGCAGACAUUUUAUAUCUGCUGACACUCCCCUUUCUCGUCGUGUACUACCUUGAAGGAAGCAAAUGGAUCUUUGGAGAAGGAUUCUGCAAGGCAACAAGAUUCUCUUUCAACUUGAAUUUAUACGGCAGCAUCGGGUUCCUCACCUGUAUAAGUGUGUACCGGUACCUGGCUGUUGUCCAUCCAAUGAGAAUGAUGGGGAGAUUAACUACGACUCACUCUGUGGUCAUCUCAGCCGUGGUUUGGAUUCUGGUGAGUGUUCAAAGUCUUCCAGACAUGUUCUACCAAAAAACAUAUCCAAACAUAUCAAAAUGCUUUGACACCACCUCUGAUGAACAUAUUAAGCGUUAUCUGGAUUACAGCCUCACCUGGACCUUCUUUGGAUUCUGCAUUCCUUUCGCCAUCAUUCUGGGCUGCUAUGGACAUGUGACUGUUGUUGUCUGCCGCUCAAAUAAAAUGAAGAAGGACAUGAAACGACGAUUCUUGAAGUUUAUGGUUUUUAUGAUUCUUCUCUUUUCAAUUUGUUAUGCGCCCUACCAUAUUUUCAAGAACCUCAGCCUGUAUUCCAGAACCCUGAGUAAUGAGAAUCAAUGCCCUCAGUGGGACUCUGGAGUCUUUAUUGCCCGUCAGACAAGUCGAGGUCUCGUGAGCCUGAACAGUGCUCUCAACCCGCUGGUUUACCUCCAUGUAAACGAGGAUAUGGGUGUUCAGUUCACACAGCUGCUGCAAAGAUGUUCACAGAGUUUCAGUUGUUUGUUGGAGUCCAAAUCCAGGUCUGUACCGGUACCACAGACUGAACAAGAAGCUGACAGUCCUCUAUGACAGCAGGUGUAGUUUUUCUUUGUUAAUCAUGUCAUGAGGUGAAUUUUUUGACGCUCUGUUUGGUUUGUAUUGUUCCAACUGGUUGAUUCUAGAAUUUUCAAGUAAUAUAAUGGUAAUGGCAAGAACACAUCCUCAAAGAUCAAUAAACUUUAAAUUCUAAUGAACAUUUAACACUGGAACUGGAAGACAUUUUAAAACUAUUAACCAAAGCAACAAAUAUAUUGAAUUAUAAAGUCUCUGUAAAAUAAAUUGUCCUUCAAAUUAAAGGGCUAGUUGAGACCAAAGCAACACACUGAAGAGUUGUCAUCCAGUUUUGGUAUAAAAAGCGCGAGAAAAAAGAAAAACUGUAAAUCAAGCAAAUAAAAAUGAUCAAAUGUAGCAGUGCGAUGUUAUUACACUAGAUUGUCAAGUUAGAAGCUAAAUAAUAUGAGCACGGGCGGGUUUUAUUUUGAAAAGUCGACAGGCGCUGUGGAACACUGUGAUGAAAAGCCUGUUUUUGAAUUAUUAUUUUCUGCUAUUUGAAUGCAGGUAUGUGAUGUUUCAUUACUUUUGGUGUGGGAUUAUUUUAUUUAUUAUUUUUUGUCUUAUUCAUGUACUGUUUAAGAUCAUUAUGCUCAUGCUUGGGGUUAGUUACUCAUUAUUGUUGCAAUUAUUUUUAUUUUGUAAGGUAAAUGUGUUACUUUACACAAGUUGCACGUUCUCUUUCUGUUCGGAUUCCGUGGGAGAAAGCGCUGUGGAACCCUGUGAUGAAAAAACCUGUUUUUGAAUGACUAUUUUCUGCUAUUUGAAUGCAGGAGCAUUAAAAGUGCCUUCAGAUCA